UGGAACGUGACGCCAGCACCUUGCUGGAAGU
rnacentral:sRNA from 1 species